rnacentral:rRNA from 1 species
AGAGUUUGAUCAUGGNUCAGAACAAACGCUGGCGGGCGUGGAUAAGACAUGCAANUCGGACGGGAUCACUUUUGGUAGCAAUACNGAAAGUGAUCCCAGUGGCGAACGGGUGCGUUAACACGUGGGCAAUNUACCGAGAAGUGGGGGAUAGCUCGCCGAAAGGCGAAUUAAUACCCGCAUGUGAUCAGAGGCGACAUCGCUUCAAAAUCAAAGGUGGCGCAAGCUACCGCUUUUUGAGGAGCCCCGCGGCCUAUCAGCUUGUUGGUGAGGUAACGGCUCACCAAGGCAUUGACGGGUAGCUGGUCUGAGAGGACGACCAGUCACACUGGGACUGAGACACGGCCCAGACACCUACGGGUGGCAGCAGUCGAGAAUUUUUCUCAAUGGGGGAAACCCUGAAGGAGCGACGCCGCGUGGAGGAUGAAGGUCUUCGGGUUGUAAACUCCUGUCAUUUGGGAACAAGCUGUGCGCGUUAACUGCGCGCGCAUUGAUAGUACCAGNNGAGGAAGAGAUNGAAGGCCAUGUGCCCAAGACACCCGCGGUAAAACAGAGGUCUCCAAGCGUUGUUCGGAUUUCAUUGGGCGUAAAAGGGUGCGUAGGCGGCGCGGUAAGUCGGGUGUGAAAUUUCGAGGCUUAACUUCGAAACUGCAUUCGAUACUGCCGUGCUUGAGGACUGGAGAGGAGACUGGAAUUUACGGUGUAGCGGUGAAAUGCGUAGAUAUCGUAAGGAAGACCAGUGGCGAAGGCGGGUCUCUGGACAGUUCCUGACGCUGAGGCACGAAGGCCAGGGGAGCAAACGGGAUUAGAUACCCCGGUAGUCCUGGCAAUAAACGGUGCACGUUUGGUGUGGGAGGAUUNGACCCCUUCUGCGCCGGAGCUAACGCGUUAAACGUGCCGCCUGGGGAGUACGUUNGCAAGAUUAAAAUUCAAAGAAAUUGACGGGGGCCCCGCAACAAGCGGUUGGAGUAUGUGGNUUAAUUUGGAUGCAACGGGAAGGAACCUUACCUGCCCUUGACAUGCAUUUUUUAAGCUGGUGAAAGCCCAGUGAGUCCCGAAAGGGACAAUUUGCACAGGUGCUGCAUGGCUGUCGUCAGCUCGUGUCGUGAGAUGUUGGGUUAAGUCCCGCAACGAGCGCAACCCCUGUGAACUGUUGCCACCGGCCCGUGAGGGUCGAGCACUCUGUUCAGACUGCCCUGUGAAACGGGGAGGAAGGUGGGGACGACGUCAAGUCAGUAUGGCCCUUACGGCCAGGGCUGCACACGCACUACAAUGCCCAGUACAGAACGAUCCAAGACCGCGAGGUGGAGGAAAUCACAAAAACUGGGCCCAGUUCGGAUUGAAGUCUGCAACUCGACUUCAUGAAGCCGGAAUCGCUAGUAAUCGUGAAUCAGCUACGACUCGGUGAAUACGUUCCCGGGCCUUGUACACACCGCCCGUCACGCCAUGGAAGCUGUGAGUGCCCGAAGUCCGUGCCGGAACCCGCAAGGGACCAAGCGGCCGAAGGCAAGCGCAGUGACUGGGGCGAAGUNGUAACAAGGUAUCCGAAGGGCGAAC